GUGUCAGCCGCCGCGGUAAUACAGAGGGUGCGAGCGUUAAUCGGAGUUACUGGGCGUAAAGGGCGCGUAGGCGGUUUAAUAAGAUUGAUGUGAAAUCCCUGGGCUUAACCUAGGAACUGCAUCGAUGACUGUUAAGCUAGAGUAUUGUAGAGGGUAGUGGAAUUUCCGGUGUAGCGGUGAAAUGCGUAGAGAUCGGAAGGAACACCAGUGGCGAAGGCGGCUACCUGGACAAAUACUGACGCUGAGGCGCGAAAGCGUGGGGAUCAAACAGGAUUAGAUACCCUCGUAGUCC
rnacentral:rRNA from 1 species